rnacentral:rRNA from 1 species
UACGAGUGCCCCGAGCAUUAUCCGGAAUCAUUGGGCGUAAAGGGUGUGUAGGUGGUUUUGUUAGUCUCCUGUCAAAUUCUUCGGCUUAACCGGGGGUCCGCAGGGGAAACGGCAAAACUAGAGGAUGCGAGGGGUGAAUGGAACUCAUAGUGGAGGGGUGAAAUCCGUUGAUAUUAUGGGGAACACCAAAAGCGAAGGCAAUUCACUGGCGCACUUCCUGACACUGAAACACGAAAGCGUGGGUAGCGAAUGGG